rnacentral:lncRNA from 1 species
AUGCUGCAGGUGGCCGAUCCUACUUUCUUAAAGAAAAUGCUCGUGAGAAUCCGCCUCCAAUCCACACCUUGUUCAGCGACACCACUCGGAUGCCUCCUCUAGACUUCGACGGCAGCUACACCGGUCUUUCGCGAGCUGCGCAAGAAGCAGUGAAACGGAAUAUAGCACGUGAUCGUGCUCGUAACCCAGCAGUGGCAGAUCUGCAUCCAGAUACAUCUAUUCUUGAGCGGAUACCUCUGGGACGCAAUGAACUAGAUGACGCCAUCAACCUGUUGCGCUUGGCACCAUCCCAGUCCGACCAAGCUGUAGGGUUUAUAGUGGUAAUUCAGAUGAUCUGCGAAGCGGCAAGGUUUCGGUUCAUUGAGGGUCUAAUCCGCAAUAGCAUGAAGGAUGUCUACGAUCCCAUUAUACCAGGCCUUGCAAUUCGGAGCCUGGAAACCCAUUGGUCUGAUCUCUCUGAAGAGAUCCAGAGGGUUCCGGCCAAUCAAACACCAUUCCAGAAGGCUGUUGUGCUCCAUAAUAUCAAAAAUGAACGCGUUGAAGUACGCAGUGUUGACUCAGACGUUGUUCGGGGUGUCGCUAUGCUGCUCUACGAUCGAAACCAAAAUGCCAAUCCUGGACCUUCAACGAAAAAGCCUCUGUUAAAGAAUCUAAAGCCUCACAUCGGAAAACCCAAAAAAUAAAUACAACAUACAUAAUGAGUGGUUGCUGUAGCAUGUGCUUAUAGUACCGAUAGUGUGCGUCUCUUUGAAAUACGUUGUCCUCAUGGAUAUUACUUCAACUUAGUUGUACCCUAGCUUUAUAUAUGUUUUUUGUACUCUGUUGUUUGCUAGUACUCUUUCGUUUUGAGAGGUGUGCAAGUCGAUUGUCGUGUGUAAUCUAUAAAAUAAAGCAAGGUUAACUUCUGUUCUUCAAUAUAAACCUGUUCUCCAUCGAUUCUUGUGUUUCUACCUUUCUUCACUGCUUUUUUAUGGGCACUUUUUCUUUGUAAGAUCUUGUGUUUUUUCAGAUUGUGCACCCAUUUUAUAGAUUUCUAGAAAUGAAAAUGAUAUAUUGUUGAGUUACUUGUCAUCUACUGCAACAAAACUAAUAUGCGGCAGAGGCACACCCAAUUCCAAGUGUGAUCUUCAUCAUCCUCAUCAUCACAAGAUUAUUAUAGGAGUAAUAAUAAGUUGAGUUAAUAGCCAAAGCUCUUGAGGAUAAGCUGGAGAGCGUUGACUUGAAUCCCCCUGUAUGAAUCUGAUUUUGAUAUUGAAGAGAUCAAAGGCAAGAGAGGGGUCAAAUUUGCAUGUAUGAGGAGGAAGGGUCGUGGCAAGUUCUGGUUUCAAAGUCUACCCUGCGCGUAUGUUUAAUAUACAAUAUUCGAUAUCUCACCUAUUAAUUUUCCAUUUUCUGAUUUAUUUUGAUACAGUUCUAUGAUGUUUUGUCGUUUUGGAAAAGCAAGGAGAAAGGAGAGGAGCCAUAGAAGAAAAAAUGCAACACAUCUUUUGUAAGAUUGUAAAGCUGGUAGGACAUUUCCGUUUUUUCUUGGUCACCUCCUCGCCUUUCUUAAUCGGCCUUUUACCUAAUUCUUCUACUUAGCCCAUGUAAAUAUCUAUAUAUAUUUUUUUUUAGGUUGUAAACAGAAUUUAGAGAUAGGGGUAAAAAUAGCAAUGGUCAACCAUAUAUAUAUAUUCACAUGUAAAAGCAGCUUAUACGAACUUUGUAGGGAACCCCCAAUUACAUACAAAUUCAAAAAAAAAAAGGAAAAAAAGAAAAGAAGCAAAAGAGCCUUUCAUUUCAUCACUUGAUUAAUCGAACCGAACUUUGUGUGCUGAAGAGAAAUGCUUUGCCGCGGCAACCAUGGUCGCCUCUGUCCCUGAACUGGUUGAUACAGAUGUUUCCCUCCUUGCAUUUCCACCUUUACCAGGUGAUGAGGAGACAAAGAAGCACGACCUGAUCAAUGGACCCAAUAUUGUUGAGCCUCCACCGUCUCUUUUGUCCUUGAUCACCAUCUUAUUGCUUAUCGAGUUUUUUCGACUUGCAAUAUAUAAAUCGGUGGAACAGCACCAGAAUUCCUAGAGCAGCAAAAAAGAAAUAACAGAACCAGAGUUUUAUGACUAAUGAGGUUUUGUUUGGAAACAGCAGUAGCUUCAAACUUGCUUUCUUGAGUAUUAUUAAACCCAUUCGUGCCCUUUUAUAAUUUCCAGUUACUUGAUGAUCACGUUCAACCAGUAUAAAUUUGACUUGAUUGGGUUCGGAAGAGAGGAGAGGAAAGACCCCAACAAAGGGGUAGAUUUUGACGUUUGCUUGUAGACCAAGUCUUAGAAAUCUAUUUUAUUGUGAAUCAAAAUCUUUGGAACUAUGUAUCUUGGCACCUAUGGGUCAAAUAUUCUUUUUAGCUCGCAUGCAAGGCAAGAUCAAGUACAGCUGGCUGUCAAACAUGUGUUAUAUAACUAAUUAAUGAAAAUCCUCAGUAGAUAAUACAUAAGUCAACAUCACUUUAGAAAACCAAGUAAAAACGUGUUAACAACAAGACACAAACUAGCCGCUCGUUUUGAGAAAUUGAAUGAGCAAUUGCUAGUAUUACAUGAAAUUGAAUAUAGUUCCAUAUUAAGUUAAGAACGAACUGUCGAGUUAAACAUGAUUUUUCUUUAUUAUGAAUUUUUAAAUAAAAAAAAUACAAAUGAUAGUCUAAAUUACUUUAAAUUAAUCUAAUUUAUAAAAAGAGAAAUUCGAACCUGAAUGCAAAGUGAACGAACUCACUAUUCUGGCCUAAUGCACGUCUGCAAUUACGUUUCUUUUUCUAAUUUUCUAUUGUUAAUAUUAAAAACUGAAAUUGAGCAGUAUACAUAUUCCGAGGCUAGGCUUAAGUACUCGCACCCAUGGCCCAAAUCCACUGUACCUUUCGGCCCAAGGCUUCAGUUAGGGAUUGGACCCCCUCAACUUUAAAAUGGAUGGUCAAAAUCACAAUUUUGCCCCUCUUGCAAGGGACUGGAGUGGAGUCAAAUUAAGAGCAUUUACAAUCAUGCUCCUUUUCUUUAGUUAAAAUUUAGUAAAAAUUAUAUAAAAGUUAUUUUAGGAGCUUUCUAUAAAUUUGAACUUCAAUCAUCCCUAGUUCAGAGAGUCAUAAAUACUAUAGUUAUUUUUUAAUUAAAUAUGAUUGGUCCAUCUCUAUAAAAAAUAAAAAAUAAAAAAGGUUAAUAUUAAUUAAAGUUUAAACUAUGCAUAAAACAAAGCAUGCAUCAUUAAAUUAGAGGGAGCCAUUUCUAUCUCUUCAAAUUUAGGAGCUCCUAGAGGUCUCCUUAUUUUAUGAGGUGAAUAGAGCAUGGUUGGAGUUGUAUUUUUCUAAUUCCUCCCUCAAAUUUGUCUAAGAAUGUGGUUUAGGGAGCUCAUUGUGGAUACUCUAAAUAAAAUAAAACCAAACAAAGACAUCCAUAAAAAAUAAAAAUCAAUCAAUCAAUGCCAUAUGUUAUUUGAAUUUCAUAUUUAAGCAUUAUUUUUAUUUCAUAUUUAUGCGCUUUGCCCUCUUACCCUAUUUAAAUCCAAUUAUCCAAACAUGAGGCAUUGCAAGCUAACAACAUUGGAAGCACUUCUCUGCUUCAUUAAAUCUUAAGGUUUGUUGAAGCAUUCUCAUGUCGUGUGCAUGAAGGUUCACCUUUAUUCUUUUGGUCAGUAAAGGAAUCUAUUUAGAUUUAAGAGAAGGAAUUCAAGAAACCAAUUCACCAUAAUGAUUCUUACUUCAUUCAUUAGUUGCUAAAAAAGCAUGAUGAUAUUGCGGUCAACAUAUUAUUCCAACAAACAACAAGAAGCAUGUCUUCUUAGAUGAUCAAUCAACAAAAACAUACAUCAAGGAUAUAAUUUGGUGAAAAGAAAUUCAUCAAUGAAAUCUGAAAAUUCAUAAACUUAAAAUAUCAUAAUAAUAAUGGAGUAAUCUAGGGCUUCAAACUAAACCCUACAAGCUUAGCAACUGAAAAUACAAAUAGAAGCAUAUAAAUUAAAAGAAGUGUGGAGAUUUGUGCCCACAAGGGUCUCAUCAAUGGUGAAAGAGCUUCCCCUUUCUUCUUGGCUGCUUGGUUACUUUCCUCCUCCUCCUUAGAUUCAAACGUUAGAGAGAGAGAGAGAGAGAGAGAGAGAGAGAGAGAGCAUCUUCCUUCUUGUCCAGCAAGCCCAUCAUCAUACAAUCAAUCUUAAGUUGUAGGAAUAUGUUUAUCACCCUCGUCUGACACAAAUACUAGCAUGUUUAUCUCACAUCUUGGUUAUUAUUAAGCUUAAUUAGCCCACCAUCAUUGCCAUACCAAUAACUAGUCAACCUGGCAUGUCCUAACUCCAUUACCAUGGUAUCUAUCUCGACCAUUAACGUUCUAUUCUUGUCACAAUAAUCAACCUAAUUUACUUUCCGUUGACAUAAUAGUUUCCCAUUAUUGAUGUCUAAAGCUAGUCAUAACUUAGUGUUAGUAUGAAAAUAGUGUUGUCAUUUCCUAGACUCUAGCAUAGGUUGAAAAUUAGUGUGUGAAGAAUUGUUACUGGACGUUUUGGCACAACUCAUUCAACCCCAUACAUUCGAGGCUUGACUUGACCGAUAUGAGUAACUUGAUUUCAGGUAAAUCAUGACAUAAUCAUACAUUCAUUAUAAGAUUCCUAGUUUGAGUUUUUUUUUCAAUCAAGUUUUUUUAUGUUAAUCUUAUUUUUAAUAGGAUUAGACUUUAUCUCUUAAGAUUAUUUUUCUAGUUAAACUCUAUUUUGAUUUAAGUUAAAAUAUUAUAUUGAUACCUAAUUGGUCUCUUUGAUAAAAAUUGUUAUCUUGAAUAACAAUCCUUGCAUAAGCACGUUUUUCAUGCUGUGCCCAUUUUGAAUGCCAUCAAAUAGUCAUAGUUGAAUAGGUUUAGUGGGUGUUCAUAUUGCAUCAGGUUUAGGAGUUUUAAUUGAAGUGGGUUUGGCACUUGUGGCAUGCCAUCUGACUGGCAUAGGAAACCUUGAAUAAAAGGAGGAUGCCUCUCCUCGGUUACAGAGGUUUUUUUUUGGAUAUUGGGUUGAGCAUAUAGAAUUCUUAAGCAAAAGCUGUUGUGCAUAUAUUUGAGAUAAAUCAUCAAGUGUUCCAUGUUUUACUUGGUGAUUUAUCAAACACUUUAAUCAUUCAUAUUGCAUUCAUAUGCAUGUCGGUGACUCAUACGGUUGAGGGCACCAAGACCGUGGUGGCGGUUUUCCUCCGGCGAGCUUAAAGCAAUCGUGGCCAGUAUUGCGUUCAACAUAAGGAGUGUCAAAGAUCAUCCCGUGACAGAAGUUGAGUUACGAAGAAGUCGGUAAACAUUAUCUAGAAUGAGUCUAGGAUAAGUGUGUGAGUACUUCUUGUAAUCAUCGUUCUAUAGUGGAUUUGAGUUGGACUGAGGAGUUCCGUGGAUUUUCCCCAGAGGUGGGAUUUUACCACGUAAAAUAAUUCUCUGUGUGUUCUUUUAUUUUAAGCUUAGCACAUCUCAGGAUUGAUAACUAAUAUCAAUCCUGCUUCAAAGGUUGAUCAUUAUUUAUUGCAAAAAAUUCGAAUUAGCUUGUUUAACCUUCUCCAGGCAUAUAUAGAUAUCCUACAGGUAUUUUCAAUUGGCAUCAGAGCAGGUUGCUGGACAUACUCAGUAAGAUCUAAUAUACCUUAGGAUGGAUCGUGCCUCGGGCUCAAUUGCACAUCCACCAUAUUUUGAUGGCAACAACUAUAGCGCUUGGAAGGCCAAAAUGAAGUCGUUUCUUUGGUCCUUAGAUGAACGUGUAUGGAGUACAGUAGUUCAUGGAUUUCCUAAACCCACAAAGAAGAUCGGAAAAGGAGAUGAAGAAACCACAAUCCUCAAAGCUAGAGAGGAGUGGACCACUGCAGAAGUCACACACAGCACUAAUAAUCAAAAGGGGUUAAAUGCUUUAUUUACUGCUGUCUCUUCAGAUCAAUUUGAAUAUAUAUCUUGUUGUGAUACUUCUAAGGAAGCUUGGGAUAUUUUGCAGGUUACUCAUGAAGGAACGGAUACUGUCAAGGGAGCCAAGCUUCAAAUGCAUACUUUACAGUUUGAGACACUCAUGAUGGAUGAGAACGAAACUUUUUCUGAAUUUUAUGCUAAACUGUGUGUAAUUGUGAAUGAUUGUUCAAGUUUAGGUGAAAAAAUUCCAGAAGACAGGGUUGUGAAAAAGAUUUUGAGAUCCUUGCCUCAACGAUUUCAACUAAAGAUCACGGCUAUAGAAGAGAUCCGUGACUUGAACACCUUGAAAGUUCAAGAACUCAUAGGGUCCAUACAAACCUAUGAGAUGAAACAUCUAGCUCCUAAAAAGAGCAAAAAUGUUGCUUUCAAGGUUGUGAAUGAAGAAGAUGAUGGGCAUUCAAAUGAAGAUUGCAGUGAUGAGGAAUUAACGAUUCUCACAAGACGAUUCAUGAACUUUCUCAAGAAUCAGGAUCCAAGGAGUCGAGAUUCAAAAGGUAUAAAUUCUAAAAAUAGGUUUGUUAACUAUACUGAUGGUGGGUCUAAAUUUCGCAGGUCAAAUGAACGAAAGAAUCCAAGAGAAAAGGUCCAAUGUUUCGAAUGUGAAGGCUAUGGACACAUAUCUUCGGAAUGUGCCAACACCUUAAAGAAACAAAGGGAUGGCAAGAAUAAGGCGAUGCAUACUACUUGGAGUGAUAGUGAAUCAGAAUGCGAGAUUGAUGAAAAGACGGUUGCACUCAUAACCACAGUUAGCUUGGAUGAAUCACAUGAGGAUGAUGAUUGUAAAGGUAUAAAUAUUGAGUUUAUCAUGAACAAAUAUGAUGAUUUGUUGGCUGUUUCUCAGAAGUUCAAUAAACAAAAUAGUGAGCUCGUCAAAGAAGUUGCUGUGCUGAAGCUGGAAAAUUCCAGGAUUGCAAACGAGUUUCAAUCCCCUGAUGCAGAUUCCGAAAAGGUAAGUGCAGGUAUGAACGAAACAUUGAUGUUUUUGCAUAAAAAAUUGGCUGAUCAGAAUAAAUUAAGUGCAUCUCUAACAUCUGACAACAAAGCCCUUGAACUUGAACUUAAAAAUUCAAAAGAAAGGAUUGUUUCUUUAACCAUUGGUGCAGAAAAAAUUGACAAGAUGAUUAGCAUGGGAAGAAGAGAUGGUGACAAACGAGGCUUGGGAUUUGAACCAAGUAAUAAGUCUUCCGCUGUGUCUAAAACAAAGUUUGUCAAAUCCACUUCACCUAUUGAACCUUCUGUCACUCAUGAAGUCAAGAAAUUUAUUCCAAUUUGUCACUUUUGUGGAACUCGUGGGCACAUAAGACCGAGAUGCAAUAAGCUUCGAAAUGAAUUUGUUUGUUCAAAUUCUCAUGGCAUGGGUGGAAAAGUAAGUAUCCAACAUAAGAUUUCAAAUCUUAUGAAAGAGGUAAACCGCUUAUCCAAACUAUCUUCUUUUCAUUGUUUGCCGUCAACUAAGACAAAGUUAGUUUGGAGGAAAAAGGAAAAUCAUAAUGGUAUGUCUUCCUCCACUAAUAUUGUGCAUGAACCCGUUGCUUUAGAAAGUUUGGAUCUUAAAUGUAUUGCUGUAAAAUCUUUGGAUAAUCUUCGAUCUGACACUCUUAGAAAGUCUUUAGGUAUAUGUGCUCUAGAUUAAUUUGGAGUCUAUUGCAUGCCAAAGCCUCUUUCAUGUCUUAUGAUAUUUUAAUUAAUUUCAGUGUUUAUAAAUCUGCCCAGCUCGUGCAAGGAUUGUUAAGGUGUAUCAAUCCUGUAACUGUCUGAACGUAUUUGUUGAUCUUAGAUUGGGCUCUGACACUGCACUAUUUUGAGAACUCAUACUCUCAGCUUCACACAAAGGUUUCCAUUGUCUUAGUGCAUUAUAAACUUCAUUAAAUGAUCUAUCCAUAUCUUUUUAUCUUUAUUUUGCACAUCACACUCUUUUCCUUGAAGUCCUUUGAAUAUCUCUUCUCAUGCACUUGUCUCUCUUUGGAUUGCCAUAACACUACUGUGCGUAAGUUCUUGAUCUGUUUAGAAAUAAUUUUAUUUUAUUUUUUAAAAAAAAAAAAAAAGGUGUUGACCACUCAUUGCUCAGUAACCGGGCCUCUUGUCUAACCAACGUCGAGGUUCGAGUCAACAAGUUGUGAUGGUUUGCUAUCCUUGCUUAUCUUUGGAGCCUUCAUGAUUCGGAUCAGUAUUUCCCCAGGGGUGCUUUAUCACCCAGUUGCUUCCAGUCAUCUGACGUGAGCACACUAAUUGACCAUCCGUUACAUGGAUCAUGUCGAAAGCUAAAUAAAGUAAGCCACCAAAUUUAAAAUAAUAAUAAUAAUAAUAAUAAUAAAUACAAUUCAUGUCUCAAAUAAACUGAUCUUCCUAUACUUCCAAUGCACUUAGUGUCUGUGUCAUCUUUGGUGGGAUCAGUCUUGGGUGGACAUAUUUUUUGUGCUUAAUUGAAAGGAGUUCACUUCACACCUUUGCUUCCUAAUGAUAGAAUCAUUUGGUGAUGUUUAUUUUUCACCAUGCACGUGGUAUGCCUCCUUGAUUAUCUGUGAGUUUGUGCAUUUCAUCUGGUGGCUUACUUUUGUCCCUGCCAUGCUUUGCUUCUUAUGCGUUUCAGACAGCGUUGGGUCUACUACUACUGUCUCUUCUUGCUCAUAUACUUGGCAUGUUUAUGAAUGGAAAAUAAUUACUUCUUCUAGAGCUCUUGCGAUCUGCAUCUAAAGUGUGUUAUAUAUCUUGGUUGUUUUGAGCCUUUUGUCUUAAUUGUGUUGUUUUUGUUUGUGUUAUGUUAUGUUUUUUGUUUUUCCCUUUCGUUUUCUUUGUUGUUUUGUUUUCCAAAAAUUUUAAAAUUAUAAAAAUAAAAAAAAACAAAAAAAAAACAAAUUUCUUUUUGUUUUCAAACAUUGUGUCAUUUAUGCUUCUUGUUUAGCUGUGCCGCUAGGCUCUGCUUCAUGUUACUAAGACGCACACAUGAUAAACUGAAUCUGAGGAUUGCAGUGUCAUUAUCAAUCAUGUCCGUUGCAUACCUGUGGCAUAUCAACAUGUAUGACACAAUGCAGAGCAUAAGACAUGCAACCGAAGAGGUCAGUAUUAUAUAUUCUUUAUAUGAUUGAACCUAAUUGUGUAUGUUGUUCUUGUAGGUGGUUAAUGGAUCUUGGCUAUAAAAAAGAUGAGACUUUUUCAUCAAUUGCACAUCUGGAAGCAGUGAGGUUAUUGCUCGUUGUCACUCAACAAAAUAAAGCCCCUUACAUGCAUCAUUGGUUAAUCUCUAUGCCUUAUAUGUUGGAUUGCAAUCUGAUCUUUUCCUCUUAUAUAUGCUUCUGUAUGUUAUUUCCUUGCCCUUUGGAUUUCCUGACAAAAAGGGGGAGAGAUCACUAUGUGAAAUUAUGAAAAGGGGAGAGACUGUGUUGUAGAAUUAAGGGGGAGUGAUGUUGUAAUUUUCUUUGAAUUACAAUUCUUCUCCCACAUGCUUCACUGGUUUUGCUGUUUCAUAAUGUGCAGGGAUUCAGAGCUUCUAAUUUAGAGUAGGAUUUCAUUUGUUUAAUCCCAUGCAAUUUCUUUUGAGUUGUAAUAGGUGUUUUGUCUAGGAAAUGCCAAAGGGGGAGAUUGUUAGUAUGAAAAUAGUGUUGUCAUUUCCUAGACUCUAGCAUAGGUUGAAAAUUAGUGUGUGAAGAAUUGUUACUGGACGUUUUGGCACAACUCAUUCAACCCCAUACAUUCGAGGCUUGACUUGACCGAUAUGAGUAACUUGAUUUCAGGUAAAUCAUGACAUAAUCAUACAUUCAUUAUAGGAUUCCUAGUUUGAGUUUUUUUUUCAAUCAAGUUUUUUUAUGUUAAUCUUAUUUUUAAUAGGAUUAGACUUUAUCUCUUAAGAUUACUUUUCUAGUUAAACUCUAUUUUGAUUUAAGUUAAAAUAUUAUAUUGAUACCUAAUUGGUCUCUUUGAUAAAGAUUGUUAUCUUGAAUAACAAUCCUUGCAUAAGCACGUUUUUCAUGCUGUGCCCAUUUUGAAUGCCAUCAAAUAGUCAUAGUUGAAUAGGUUUAGUGGGUGUUCAUAUUGCAUCAGGUUUAGGAGUUUUAAUUGAAGUGGGUUUGGCACUUGUGGCAUGCCAUCUGACUGGCAUAGGAAACCUUGAAUAAAAGGAGGAUGCCUCUCCUCGGUUACAGAGGUUUUUUUUUGGAUAUUGGGUUGAGCAUAUAGAAUUCUUAAGCAAAAGCUGUUGUGCAUAUAUUUGAGAUAAAUCAUCAAGUGUUCCAUGUUUUACUUGGUGAUUUAUCAAACACUUUAAUCAUUCAUAUUGCAUUCAUAUGCAUGUCGGUGACUCAUACGGUUGAGGGCACCAAGACCGUGGUGGCGAUUUUCCUCCGGCGAGCUUGAAGCAAUCGUGGCCAGUAUUGCGUUCAACAUAAGGAGUGUCGAAGAUCAUCCCGUGACAGAAGUUGAGUUACGAAGAAGUCGGUAAACAUUAUCUAGAAUGAGUCUAGGAUAAGUGUGUGAGUACUUCUUGUAAUCAUCGUUCUAUAGUGGAUUUGAGUUGGACUGAGGAGUCCCGUGGAUUUUCCCCAGAGGUGGGGUUUUACCACGUAAAAUAAUUCUCUGUGUGUUCUUUUAUUUUAAGCUUAGCACAUCUCAGGAUUGAUAACUACUAUCAAUCCUGCUUCAAAGGUUGAUCGUUAUUUAUUGCAAAAAAUUCGAAUAAGCUUGUUUAACUUUCUCCAGGCAUAUAUAGAUAUCCUACAGGUAUUUUCAAUUGGCAUCAGAGCAGGUUGCUGGACAUACUCAGUAAGAUCUAAUAUACCUUAGGAUGGAUCGUGCAUCGGGCUCAAUUGCACAUCUCAGGAUUGAUAACUAAUAUCAAUCAUGCUUCAAAGGUUGAUCAUUAUUUAUUGCAAAAAAUUCGAAUUAGCUUGUUUAACCUUCUCCAGGCAUAUAUAGAUAUCCUACAGGUAUUUUCACUUAGAUAGAUGUGAAGUGAUGGAUGAUAUAUGAAGGCGAGGACCUUGAGUAGGUGUAUAUGCCUUCAGCAGGUUAGUGGAUAAUGAAGGCCUUCGGCAGGUUAUUGGAUAGUGAAGGCCUUUGGAAGGUUAUUGCAUUCGGCACAUUGUGACAGUCAACAUAAGUAAAAUAGGUAAGCUUGCAUAAGACAGAUAUACGUGGUUUACCCAAAUGAUGGGCUAUGUCCACGAAAAAGGAUAUUCUUAUUUUAAUAAUAGUUGUUUACAUGGUACAAGGGGUUAGAUCCAAAGAAAAGGAAAGGAGGGAGAGAGCCUAAGGCUUAAGGUCCAAGGCCCAAGAUGAUAAUCCUUUCCGAAGUGGAGAUUGGUCUCCUUUUGUAAGUGAAGGAGAGUCUCCACCUCUUUUAGUAUUUCAAUAUGGGACUCUUGAUAUUGCCUCUAGUUGCGACUUGUGGCAAAAGCUUCCUUGACUAAGGCAAUGACCUCUCAAAGUAUGUCACGUGACUGACUUUGUUUAGCUAGUUGCCUAAUUGCUCAGUUAGUCACGCUAUCAACGCCCAUUAUUUCACAGCCAUAUAUAGUCAUUUGAAUAGAAACAAGAUUAGAUUGACCUACAAGACAAAGGCCACAAAUGAUGUACUAAUAUUGGACCACAUUAUCAAAAGCAUUGAAGUAUACAUAGCAUUCAAUUAUUCUCAUUGUAGGACCACAUACAAAAUGUCAAAGUUUCUUUAAACAAAGACUAUAUAUAUAUAUAUAUAUAUAUAUAGAGAGAGAGAGAGAGAGAGAGAGAGCGCAUUCAUACCACAACACUGUGGCCUCAUUAAAGCAUUCAUACAUUGUCUUCACAUGACACCAACUCCAAUUUCAACCAGAUUUACUGUCCAACCUUCAGAUUUAGUUUUUAGAUUGCUCGAUUAAAUCUUCUCUCAACUCUUUAGUCUAUGUAUGAAUUCCAGCCAAUCAAACUAAACCCAACAAUAAGUUUUUGGCCAAAAUCACUUCGUGGUUUUCAUAUCUUUUUUUUCUUUCGUCAAAAGAAAAGAAUAGAAAAGAAACUCAGAAUCAGAAUCAAUCAAUGCAAGUUGUGUUCCACAGUUCUCAUUCGAGAUAAAUUCUGGGGUGGUAAGAUAAGAUCACUCAAAUAAAAUUAUUCGGUGCUGUUUCUAAUCAUCACUUUAUUUUUAACUUCUGAAAUAAAAUUAGAAAGGAAAAAAGAAAACAAAUAGACUUUUCCAACAACGUUGACUUAGUCAGCUCAGAUGUUAGCCAAGCAAGCUGUCAUUGGCCUCUCUACUGUUGUAUAAAAGCUGAUACACACAUGACACUAGUGUAUUGUUGCAUCGAUAUCACUGCUACUCAUCGAAAAUAACAAGGAUAUAUAGUUUUAGCUAGCUUUAGUAUAUUUGCAUUGUUCUUGCUGCUCUUAAAAUGGAACUAUCCUUCUCCACUAAGAACACAACCCCCCAGAAAUAUCGCGACUUCAUAGAAUCUCUGCGACAACGACUCACAGCCGGACGAUCUAAAUCACAUGGUAUACCGGUGCUGCCUAGAAGAGAAGAUGUGCCAGACGCACAACGCUUUCUUCUUGUUGACCUCACAAACUCUGGAAACAAUACCAUCAGGCUCGCAAUCGAUGUGGUGAACGCUUACGUGGUGGGUUAUGCUGCAGGUGGCCGAUCCUACUUUCUUAAAGAAAAUGCUCGUGAGAAUCCGCCUCCAAUUCACACCUUGUUCCGCGACACCACUCGGAUGCCUCCUCUGGACUUCGACGGCAGCUACACAGGGCUUUCGCGAGCUGCGCAAGAAGCAGUGAAACGGAAUAUAGCACGUGAUCGUGCUCGUAACCCAGCAGUGGCAGGUCUGCAUCCGGAUACACC